CUUAACUCGAUAAAAAUUCUACGAGGUAGAGUUCUAAUCCCUUCCCUUUCAUUACUGUAACACCACCUUCACAGCCGUAUCAUUACAAAAACACAAGUUUCUGACGAGUCCGAGUUGUUCCCCAAGAUCCUCGAUGGAAGUUUUGAGAGGAUGAUUUGAUUAGAGAUCCAAUACAAAUGGAUUUUCAUAAUUGCUUUUAUAUCAUAUACUUUGAAACUUUUUUUUUCUUAUUGUUCAUAUAUUCACAAGAGUCCGGAUCCAAAACCUAUUCACAAUUUCAUGCUUGCAUUUGGAAGACUGAUGGGAGAAAGGAUCAGUUUUCUCUCAUCCAUCAAAUUCCUCCAUAGGGUGACACCAGGUGAUACCAAAUUCAUCCAUCGAAGCGCGGGAUUCUGGGGGGAGGGUGUGAAUAAUUCACGCAAACAUUGAUCGGGGUUUUCAUCUUGGAUUCUGAACCUGAUUUCACGAAACUCCAUUGCAGUCGAGCUGUUUCAUCACAAAUUCAAGGCUUCUGAUGAGGCAAAAUUCAUAAAAGAUUUAGAGACAGAUCACAUGAGGCAGCUGGUUGACUUACGGAUUAGGAUAGAUGAGAUCAUACUGACAGACUCUGGCCAGAAAAAGGCAUUUGAAAAUGAGUUGCAACGCAACUUAAGAGGAAUACUUGCUUUGGAUGAUAGUAGGAGAGCUGCAUUCCAACUUGCUUGUGACGAGGAGCAAUAAGUAGUUGAUGAUAAUGGAUGCAUGUCUUCCGAUAUUUGAUUGAUGAACGAGGGCCUUGGUCAGCCAAUCCUUUUCCAUAUUGUGCUGCAAGACAUUGGAAACUUGAUAAGACAGAAGAUACAUGGCGUCGUAGACUGAAGUUAGGAAAUUGUGUCACCGUACGUGCAGUGCUUCAGAAAAUGAAGCUGCAGUUGUACCUUGUGAAGAUAAAUCUGGCGUUGGCGUGCCUAAUCUAGAGCAAAUGAAGCGCUUCUUGCUGAAAGGAAUUCGCAGAAUCACGGAAGAGGUGAACCCUGAAGCCAUGCAGUGAAAGUGAUAAUGAGUCAAAUAGCUCCCAGGGGAUGGGCUCUGAGGAGGUUCCAGAGCUGUUGAAGGAUGGUGACCAGAAGGAUGCAGUUCAGGAAAGAAAAGACUCUUCUUCACCUGGCUUUGAGACAGAUAGUGGGCAGGUUCUUACUACUGUACCCUGCAUUAUGGUUACUCCAAAAAGAAAAUUAUUGUAUGUCUAGCUUUAAACUUUAACUUGCAGGGGCUUUAAGUGUUGAUACUCCUUUUGCAAAUUUUAUAGGGCGUACCUGAUCGUAUAACCGAUGAAGUGUUUAUUGCCAUGUCAAAGGCACUGAACUUCAUAAAUCCUGAUGAGCUUUCGAUGCAGUGCAUCUUGAUUGCUCUGAACCGAUUUCUGCAGGCAUGAGCACAUUUCAUUGUCUACUUUUAAUUUUUAAUUUCUGUUAAAACCAUUUCUGUAAAACUUGGUCCUUAUACAUGAAACCUCGAGACAUGGGGAUUAAGAUGUGACCCCAUGGUAGUCUAUCAUUUCGGCAAACUGUGAUGUAAUAUUAUGUAAUCAAACAUGGUUUAUAGCUUGAGGAAAGUCAUGUGGAGGCAGUAGCACAUCAUUUCUAAAUAAGACCACACUACUACAAAAGUUAUAAAAACCAACGUAGGUUUUAACAACGCUCUUGAAAUUUCAUUGUCUACUUUUAAUUUUUAAUUUUUUGUUAAAAACAUUUGUUUGCUAGAUUAUAGUUCCAAGCAGACCAUAUGAUCUUGAAAUUCUUUACAUUUGUUUACUAUUUCUGUUGUACAGAGAAUAAUGAAUUGUCCCAAGCCUUUUUUCCUUUUUUUUAAUAAUUAUUUUACUUUAUCAUUAACAUUGUUAUUUUGGUGCUCAUCAAUUGGUAUUGUUAAGGACUAAUGGUACUUACACAUGACAAGUUACUUAUAAAACAGUCUUGACAUUGUGUACAAGAAUUUUUGUUUAGUUGCAUGAUAUGAUAGUUAAAAGCUCUGAGCAUAACAGAUUUAUGAUUUAGAUUUUAGACUUUCUGAUUGCUACAUUGGCUUUGUUCCAAGUUUAGAAAAAUGUUAGAAUUAUUACUUAGGUCUUGCUAUUCAGCCUAUGCUUGCUAUAUUUUUUUUGGGGGGGGGGGGGGGGGGGGACUCAAUAAAAGUGUUGUACACCAAACAUAUCUGACAUACUAGGAUACUGAGCACAUAUCUGAUUUAUGUGUCUGGAUCUAGUCCUCAAAAAUGAUUUUUGCAAUUUUCCUGAAAACCCCACCAUUUAUUUUCCAAUUCAAGAUGGGCUACGUUAUUUCUUACAAACCAUGCAUGGUUUUAGCUGUUGCUAUGUUAUAGUUGUACUAUAUGGAUUUUACUGUAUUUAAAAGAACAGAAAUCACAUAUGUCAAAGUGGGAAACAAACUUUAGUCUAAACAUUAUUACAAAAUUAACACAGCUGCUGGUUCUGCUUGACUUUAUAGCCUAAACAAAGAGCUGUGACAGUAUGAUAUGUAUUCUGUAGCAAGUCAGCAGUAAACUAAAAAAAAUUCUGAGAUUGUUCUGUUUUCUAUUCUGUAAACUGCUAAUAUCUUCUUCAUUUGAUUGUGACUUUUAGGACUGGAGGUUGCUGUGUCAGUGCUUCUUUGAUGAAAUAUAUGACGUCAUUGUCAUCAUCUAGUCUAUUGAAAUAGUUAUCCUUGAUAACCCCAAGCCGGCUAGGAGUCUCAAGACCCAAUUUCUUCAUCACCGCACUCUGGAGGUCUCCUAAAGAGCAGUGCAGACAGCAGGGACACCAGCAGGGACACCAACACCAGGGUCAACAGCACCAGGGUUAACAGCACCAGGGUUAACAGCACCGGGGUUAACAGCAGCGGGGUUGACAGCACCGGGGUUGACAGCAACGGGGUCAACACCAGCAAGGACAACAGUACCGGGGUCAACACCAGCAGGGUAAACAGCACCAGGAUCAGCAACAGGGUCAACACCAGCAGGGUAAACAACACCAUGGUCAACAGCACUAGGGUUAACAGCACCAGGGUUGACAGCACCGGGGUUGACAGCAAUGGGGUCAACACCAGCAAGGACAACAGUAUCGGGGUCAACACCAGCAGGGUAAACAGCACCAUGUCACGGAUAGCCUCCCACACCAUCGCAUGUGGCAGCAUGCAAGGCAACAAGCAUCGCAACGCAACGCGGUGCACCGCCAAGGGUGGCGGCAAGGUCGUUGGGCACCAUCGGGCAACGUGGGGGUCCAUCGGAUAGUGGGUCGUUUGGGGGACCAAACGAUAUCCAAAUGGGCUGAAACUUGGGGGUCCCGUGUAUUUUGGCCCAAUGAAGACAAUGGUCAGGCCAAAUUUUGGGUUUGAGGCCCAGAAGGCCCGAUUUUGCAGCAGGUAUGCACGGUUGUGCAUCGGAAGGUUCUAGAGUGCUCCGGAGGCAUCUUGGACACUCUAGCUUGGUUGUUUCUUGAAGGUUCUAGCUAGGAAGAGUGUAGAACCUUGCUGUACAGAUAUUUCUAGAUACCUCCUUGUAUAGAGGGUUCCCUUGGAGGUGGGAACAUUCUAGAGAAUUGUAGGGCAUUCUUGUAAAGAGUAGUGUAGAAUAUUCUAGAGUGUAGAAUGUUCUAGGCUAGGGACUUGGGUGCCUAUAAAUAGGCUUCCCCAUUCAUUUGUGCAAAUCAGCCAACACAUUUUAAUCACACUUAAGUAAUACAAAGAGCUUUAUUACAAA